CCUACGGGAGGCAGCAGUAGGGAAUCUUCCACAAUGGGCGAAAGCCUGAUGGAGCAACGCCGCGUGGGUGAAGAAGGUCUUCGGAUCGUAAAACCCUGUUGUUAGAGAAGAAAGUGCGUGAGAGUAACUGUUCACGUUUCGACGGUAUCUAACCAGAAAGCCACGGCUAACUACGUGCCAGCAGCCGCGGUAAUACGUCGGUGGCAAGCGUUAUCCGGAUUUAUUGGGCGUAAAGGGAACGCAGGCGGUCUUUUAAGUCUGAUGUGAAAGCUUUCGGCUUAACCGGAGUAGUGCAUUGGAAACUGGGAGGCUUGAGUGCAGAAGAGGAGAGUGGAACUCCAUGUGUAGCGGUGAAAUGCGUAGAUAUAUGGAAGAACACCAGUGGCGAAGGCGGCUCUCUGGUCUGUAACUGACGUUGAGGCUCGAAAGCGUGGGGAGCAAACAGGAUUAGAUACCCGUGUAGUC
rnacentral:rRNA from 1 species